AGCUCUUCGGGCAGAUUAAUGUUCGUGGAUUUCUUAUGCUUACCUGCACAGGUACCUGCUAUAUUAAGUAAUAAGACCCGGUACUUUGAUUCAUGUACCCACCGGCAAUGCAGAAUAUACUGCACUGAUUGCUCUGGUUCAUAUAGGAUAUUCUAUCUACCUAGUCCACUGGCAAUCCUCUGUGAGUAAUUACUCUAUAGUGGACAACAAACAGCAACACACUUU